CCCUUAGAUGUUCUGGGCUGCACGCGCGCUACACUGAUGCGCUCAACGAGUUUACGACCUUGCCCGGAAGGGUUGGGUAAUCUUUUUAAAACGCAUCGUGAUGGGGAUAGAUUAUUGCAAUUAUUAAUCUUUAACGAGGAAUUCCUAGUAAGCGCGAGUCAUCAGCUCGUGCUGAUUACGUCCCUGCCCUUUGUACACACCGCCCGUCGCUACUACCGAUUGAAUGGUUUAGUGAGAUCUUCGGAUUGGCGCCACUGCGGCUCAGCAAUGGGCUCGGUGGAUGCCGAAAAGUUGAUCAAACUUGAUCAUUUAGAGGAAGUAAAAGUCGUAACA
rnacentral:rRNA from 1 species